GUGCCUGACAAUGAAUGGGGAAAGACACCUUACUACUGUGUUUUUCCUAAAGUGGAAAAUAAAAGAAAGAUUGAUGAUAGUGUAGAAAAUCCAACAGCUAAAACUAAGAGAUUAGAGACAAAACUGAAAUGUUCAGAUUUAGUUGUCUUAAAUAUACCAUACACUUAUGAUGAACAAAAGUUGAAAGAAUACUUUGGUCAAUUUGGAGAACUUCUUAUGUUACAGAUAAAGAGAGAUAAAAAUGGGCAAUCUCGAGGAUAUGGAUUUUUAAGGUAUACAAAUUUAGAAUCACAAGUAAGAGUUCUUUCUCAGCGUCAUAAGAUUGAUGGUCGUAAUUGUGAAGUUAAGGUUCCAAAGUCUAAGGAAGGUAAUGGUUCAGAGCUUUCCGGAAAAGUUUUUGUGGGUCGUGUGACAGAAGAUUUAACAGCUGACGAUAUUCGUGAGUAUUUCAGCAAAUUUGGAGAAGUCAUCAAUGUUUUUGUGCCCAAAAAUCCAUUCCGCGGAUUUGCAUUUGUAACUUUCCUCGAUCCUGAAGUAGCUGCUAGUUUAUGCGGUGAAGAUCAUAUUGUUAAAGACGUUUCAGUGCGCGUAUCUGAAGCUGCCCCAAAACCACAAGUUCCCAAAAAUCGUCAUCAAACUCCCCCACCUAGUGAACCCUGGGAGCGUUCUAAUAAUCGCCAUAAUGACAAUUAUCGAAAUUGGUAUCACUCACAACAUGAUAAUAGGGGGAGUGUAGAUAUGCCUAAUCUACAGUCAUUGGGAAUUAAUGGUCAAGACAGCUAUAACCCAAUGUUGCCCCUGAGCCCGCUAUUGUUGCUGCUGCAUUAACACAAGCUGCUGGAUGGAGUCUGGCUAAUGGUCGUAUGAUGCCACCACCACCACCUCCUAAUGGAAACAAUCAAUGGUCUCAACACGGUCUCAACUCUCAACGAAAUAACUAUAAUAACAGGAAACGUUCUAAUAAUGAUUACAAUUCAUCAGGCAAUCGCUAAAAAAAUAUAAUGGUAAUAUUAUAAAUAAAAAUCAAUAACAAUUUACUGUCCUAAAACUUUACCAGUUCUUCUAACUUUUUGGAUAUGUACAUAGUACAUACAUGAUUACAAGUAUAAAAAAUAAACUGGCUAAUAUUCUGUAGUUAAAAUGUUUAUUCUGGUUAUUCCACAUUAUUGUUGGAAUAAUGAUUAUUUUUAUUUAAAUACAACUUGUUUUGAUGCUGAAUGUGGCAAACAAAUAAAAAACCUUAUUUACUGAACAAAUUAAUUUGUUAAUUAAAAUUUAAAAAGUAGUAAUACAUGUUAAUAAACUGUUUGUAUACAUAUUAGUAUAUUCUUUAUAAUAUAUACAUUUAGUUAUUGUUACUGCUAUACAAUUGUGCAUUUAAGGGUUAUCUUAAUAUUAAUAGAAUACAUAUUUAAAUUAUUAUGCUUUGGUGGAACGAAUGAAUUUACAAAUGGUAUGAAUGUAAUUUGUAUGACAUUAUUUGAUUGGAAAUUAUACUAUCUCAUUAAAAACAUGUAAAAAUUGUGUUUUACUUUGUGGCUUGAACAUAUGCUAAUACAAUAUUAUGUAUUGAAAAAAAUUGGUUAUACUUUCAAAAUUAGUUUUAUUAUGUGUGUAUGUCUACUGUAUAUACUUAAGACUGGAUUUUUUUUGUUACGUAAUGAAGUUAUGGAUGGUAUUAUGGCUUUCAAUAUCCACAAUACAGAUAAUUUUUUCUACCUUGUAUAAUUAUUAAUUGUACUAUCAGCUAGUUUUUUUUUUUUUUUAAAUAGUAAACGUAUUAUGUACUUCUACGUUUUCUAAUAGUUAAAAAAUAUUUAUUAUUUUCUUAUAUCUAAAUUUGCUUCUAGUUUUUCAAUAAAAUUAUGAUAUAUUGUAUUUUAUUAUACAGUCGUAAAAAUAUUUUAACUUGACCUAUUUGAAAAUUAAAUCGAGUUUAAAAUAUAAUUGUCAUAUUUAUAUAUUUAUUUGUCUUUCUCAAUAGUUGACUUAAUCAAUAUUUUCUAUAAUAACAUGUAUGCAUAAAAUAUAAUCAACCUUCUAAAUAUUAAUUUUGGUUGUUUAUUUGGUCAAUUAGUUAUAUUUCUUGUUUAACUUAUAUUUGAUUAAAACUUAAACAAAUUAAUAAAUAUUAAGGUUUUAUCUUUGAAUGAUACUACAUUAUAACAUUUAUUCUAAUAAAAUUCAAUACGCAAAUGAAAAUCAAUAAUAUGAGUUUUAAAUCUAAGUAUUGUAUUUCAUUAUGUUUUUAAUAUACCUUAAUUAUAGUAAUUAUUGUUAAUUAAUUUUGCUAAAUAAUAUUAAUAAUUAUUAAUUUAAAAAAAAAAGACGUUUAUUGAAUAUGAAUAUAUUAUAAAAAGCAUGAUUGCCAUAAUCCUCCUUGUAUUUAAUUAUUUUUAGUCUGACUGAAUGAACGAUGAUUUAAUUGUAUUUGUUAUCAUCUUUGACUUGUAAAGACUAUUUUGUCUGCUGUCAAUGAAUAAGUUGUUUCAUUUUAAUCUUUAUUAAAUGUAUGCAAAAUCAUCUGGUUGUAUGGAGUGCUCGGUUUAAACUUUAAACAUCGAGUUAAAUAUGUCUUUUACAAUGUCAAAAUGGAGUAUUGUGAUAUUUGUUGCUGAAAAUAUAAAAUUGAAAAAAAUUCGGUCUUUAAUAUUGUCGAAUAGCUGUCAAUCUGUGUUGAUGAAUGUCUUCAACAAACGGAACAUCUUCAAUGUUUUGUAAGUAUGUAUGUUUUCAUGUGUGUUAACUCAGAUUCUCGAUUAUGUAUAAUUUUUAUUUUGUUUAUUUUACCAGCAUGUAUGUUUUAUUUUUAUCUUGUUUAUAAAAUUGAGUAUAUUAAAAAUAUUAAUCAUCUUACAUAUAAAUUAUAGUUUGUUCUGUUUGGUUUACAAAUAGGUAUUUUUUAAUUUAUCCAAUAGAAAACCAUUGUUUAAACAUUAUUAUUUAAAAUUGUAUAAAUUAUGUUUUGUUUACUAGUUAGUGUUAACAUUAUUAAUUUAUUUCAGAUUCAUGUGAAAAAUUAACUAAUUUUAUCUGACAACCAAGUCUUAUUGAUCAAAUUCAGGUUCAAUCAGAACUUGAAUCUUGAAGAAUCCAGCAAGAACUACCUUCCCUUGAAUUGAAAGAAUGGUUACUGUUACUACAAAUCUAUGUUAUUAACAUUUUCUGAAAGGUAUUUAUUUUUCAUAGAGUAAUAACAAUACAUUGUCCUUUGUGAUGGACAAAUUCAAGGUACUAGCAAGUUGGUAUAUUUAUAUGGAUUAUCGACAAAAGCGACUGGAUGAUAUAGAAACAAUGCAUACCUAAAAUUAAAAAUUAAAUGUUUAAAAAGAAAUUGAACUGUAUAUUAAUUUUUUUUUCAAUAUUGUUAGUGACUGAGAGAUUACAAGUAUAUAAUAUCGAAUAUUUUUUUGACUGGUUUAUAAUUUGAAUUUUUUUCUCUAUUAUUUUAUCUAGAAGAUUCUAUUGUGAAACUAAAUAUUACUGUACGUUAAGGUAUUUCAUAAAUAGAUAUUUUAUAAUAUAAUAUAUUUCUAUCA